rnacentral:rRNA from 1 species
CAUUUAUGGAGAGUUUGAUCCUGGCUCAGGACGAACGCUGGCGGCGUGCUUAACACAUGCAAGUCGAA